rnacentral:rRNA from 1 species
AGAGUUUGAUCAUGGCUCAGAUUGAACGCUGGCGGCAGGCCUAACACAUGCAAGUCGAACGGUAACAGGAAGAAGCUUGCUUCUUUGCUGACGAGUGGCGGACGGGUGAGUAAUGUCUGGGAAACUGCCUGAUGGAGGGGGAUAACUACUGGAAACGGUAGCUAAUACCGCAUAACGUCGCAAGACCAAAGAGGGGGACCUUCGGGCCUCUUGCCAUCGGAUGUGCCCAGAUGGGAUUAGCUAGUAGGUGGGGUAACGGCUCACCUAGGCGACGAUCCCUAGCUGGUCUGAGAGGAUGACCAGCCACACUGGAACUGAGACACGGUCCAGACUCCUACGGGAGGCAGCAGUGGGGAAUAUUGCACAAUGGACGCAAGCCUGAUGCAGCCAUGCCGCGUGUAUGAAGAAGGCCUUCGGGUUGCAAAGUACUUUCAGCGGGGAGGAAGGGAGUAAAGUUAAUACCUUUGCUCAUUGACGUUACCCGCAGAAGAAGCACCGGCUAACUCCGUGCCAGCAGCCGCGGUAAUACGGAGGGUGCAAGCGUUAAUCGGAAUUACUGGGCGUAAAGCGCACGCAGGCGGUUUGUUAAGUCAGAUGUGAAAUCCCCGGGCUCAACCUGGGAACUGCAUCUGAUACUGGCAAGCUUGAGUCUCGUAGAGGGGGGUAGAAUUCCAGGUGUAGCGGUGAAAUGCGUAGAGAUCUGGAGGAAUACCGGUGGCGAAGGCGGCCCCCUGAACGAAGACUGACGCUCAGGUGCGAAAGCGUGGGGAGCAAACAGGAUUAGAUACCCUGGUAGUCCACGCCGUAAACGAUGUCGACUUGGAGGUUGUGCCCUUGAGGCGUGGCUUCCGGAGCUAACGCGUUAAGUCGACCGCCUGGGGAGUACGGCCGCAAGGUUAAAACUCAAAUGAAUUGACGGGGGCCCGCACAAGCGGUGGAGCAUGUGGUUUAAUUCGAUGCAACGCGAAGAACCUUACCUGGUCUUGACAUCCACAGAACUUUCCAGAGAUGGAUUGGUGCCUUCGGGAACUGUGAGACAGGUGCUGCAUGGCUGUCGUCAGCUCGUGUUGUGAAAUGUUGGGUUAAGUCCCGCAACGAGCGCAACCCUUAUCUUUUGUUGCCAGCGGUCCGGCCGGGAACUCAAAGGAGACUGCCAGUGAUAAACUGGAGGAAGGUGGGGAUGACGUCAAGUCGUCAUGGCCCUUACGACCAGGGCUACACACGUGCUACAAUGGCGCAUACAAAGAGAAGCGACCUCGCGAGAGCAAGCGGACCUCAUAAAGUGCGUCGUAGUCCGGAUUGGAGUCUGCAACUCGACUCCAUGAAGUCGGAAUCGCUAGUAAUCGUGGAUUAGAAUGCCACGGUGAAUACGUUCCCGGGCCUUGUACACACCGCCCGUCACACCAUGGGAGUGGGUUGCAAAAGAAGUAGGUAGCUUAACCUUCGGGAGGGCGCUUACCACUUUGUGAUUCAUGACUGGGGUGAAGUCGAAACAAGGUAACCGUAGGGGAACCUGCGGUUG